ANNGCGNCUUAUCAUGCAGUCGAGCGGACUUGAUGGAGUGCUUGCACUCCUGAUGGUUAGCGGCGGACGGGUGAGUAACACGUAGGCAACCUGCCCUCAAGACUGGGAUAACUACCGGAAACGGUAGCUAAUACCGGAUAAUUUAUUUCACAGCAUUGUGGAAUAAUGAAAGACGGAGCAAUCUGUCACUUGGGGAUGGGCCUGCGGCGCAUUAGCUAGUUGGUGGGGUAANGGCUCACCAAGGCGACGAUGCGUAGCCGACCUGAGAGGGUGAACGGCCACACUGGGACUGAGACACGGCCCAGACUCCUACGGNAGGCAGCAGA
rnacentral:rRNA from 1 species